GAGAGUACGCUGUUUCCGAUUGAU
rnacentral:siRNA from 1 species